rnacentral:misc_RNA from 1 species
AACCUAGCACACCUGCGGUGUGUACCUGCGGAGGGAUCAUUACCGAGUUUACAACUCCCAAACCCCUGUGAACAUACCUAUAAUUUGCCUCGGCGGACUCAACGACGGUGCUCCGAGAAAUCGGGCGCCGCUCGCUGCCAGAGGAACCCCAAACUCUAUGUAUUCUUGUGGAUCUUCUGAGUAAAACAAAACAAAUAAAUCAAAACUUUCAACAAUGGAUCUCAGAUCGGAAGAGCACAC